UACGUAGGGGGCAAGCGUUGUCCGGAUUUAUUGGGCGUAAAGAGCUCGUAGGCGGUUUGUCGCGUCUGCUGUGAAAUCCCGAGGCUCAACCUCGGGCCUGCAGUGGGUACGGGCAGACUAGAGUGCGGUAGGGGAGAUUGGAAUUCCUGGUGUAGCGGUGGAAUGCGCAGAUAUCAAGAGGAACACCUGAGGUGAAGACGGGUUGCUGGGCCGACACUGACGCUGACAGCGCGAAAGCCAGGGGAGCAAACGGG
rnacentral:rRNA from 1 species